GAGGGUAUAGCUCAGUGGGAGAGCAUGUGCUUAGCAUGGAUGUGGUCCUGGGUUCAACCCCCAGUAUCUCCA
rnacentral:tRNA from 1 species